rnacentral:rRNA from 1 species
UACAGAGGUCUCAAGCGUUGUUCGGAUUCAUUGGGCGUAAAGGGUGCGUAGGCGGCGCGGUAAGUCGGGUGUGAAAUCUUCGGAGCUUAACUCCGAAACUGCAUUCGAUACUGCCGUGCUUGAGGACUGGAGAGGAGACUGGAAUUUACGGUGUAGCGGUGAAAUGCGUAGAUAUCGUAAGGAAGACCAGUGGCGAAGGCGGGUCUCUGGACAGUUCCUGACGCUGAGGCACGAAGGCCAGGGGAGCAAACGGG